rnacentral:rRNA from 1 species
UGAGGAAUAUUGGUCAAUGGACGCAAGUCUGAACCAGCCAAGUAGCGUGCAGGAUGACGGCCCUAUGGGUUGUAAACUGCUUUUAUAUGGGGAUAAAGUGAGGAACGUGUUCCCUUUUGCAGGUACCAUAUGAAUAAGGACCGGCUAAUUCCGUGCCAGCAGCCGCGGUAAUACGGAAGGUUCGGGCGUUAUCCGGAUUUAUUGGGUUUAAAGGGAGCGUAGGCCGUUUGGUAAGCGUGUUGUGAAAUGUAGGAGCUCAACUUCUAGAUUGCAGCGCGAACUGUCAGACUUGAGUGCGCACAACGUAGGCGGAAUUCAUGGUGUAGCGGUGAAAUGCUUAGAUAUCAUGAAGAACUCCGAUUGCGAAGGCAGCUUACGGGAGCGCAACUGACGCUGAAGCUCGAAGGUGCGGGUAUCGAACAGG